rnacentral:rRNA from 1 species
GGGUGAGUAACACGUGGGUAACCUGCCUGUAAGACUGGGAUAACUCCGGGAAACCGGAGCUAAUACCGGAUAGUUCCUUGAACCGCACGGUUCAAGGAUGAAAGACGGUUUCGGCUGUCACUUACAGAUGGACCCGCGGCGCAUUAGCUAGUUGGUGGGGGAAUGGCUCACCAAGGCGAGGAUGCAUAGCCGACCUGAGAGGGUGAUCGGCCACACUGGGACUGACACACGGCCCACACUCCUACCGGAGGCAGCAGUAGGGAAUCUUCCUCAAUGGACGAAAGUCUGACUGAGCAACGCCCCGUGAGUGAUUAAUGUUUUCUGAUCGAAAAGCUCUGUUGUUAGGGAAGAACGAGUGCGAGAGUAACUGCUCGCUCCUUGACUGUACCUAACCAGAAAGCCACGGCUAACUACGUGCCAGCAGCCGCGGUAAUACGUACGUGGCAAGCGUUGUCCGGAAUUAUUGGGCGUAAAGGGCUCGCACGCGGUUUCUUAAGUCUGAUGUGAAAGCCCCCGGCUCAACCGGGGAGGGUCAUUGUAAACUAGUAAACUUGAUUGCUGAAGAGGAGAGUGGAAUUCCUCCUGUAGCGGUGAAAUGCUUAGAAAUGU